GGUUAAGUUAGAAAGGGCGCACGGUGGAUGCCUUGGCACUAGGAGCCGAUGAAGGACGGGACGAACACCGAUAUGCUUCGGGGAGCUGUAAGCAAGCUUUGAUCCGGAGAUUUCCGAAUGGGGAAACCCACCACUCGUAAUGGAGUGGUAUCCAUAUCUGAAUACAUAGGAUAUGAGAAGGCAGACCCGGGGAACUGAAACAUCUAAGUACCCGGAGGAAGAGAAAGCAAAUGCGAUUCCCUGAGUAGCGGCGAGCGAAACGGGACCAGCCCAAACCAAGAGGCUUGCCUCUUGGGGUUGUAGGACACUCUGUACGGAGUUACAAAGGAACGAGGUAGAUGAAGAGGUCUGGAAAGGCCCGCCAUAGAAGGUAACAGCCCUGUAGUCAAAACUUCGUUCUCUCCUGAGUGGAUCCUGAGUACGGCGGAACACGUGAAAUUCCGUCGGAAUCCGGGAGGACCAUCUCCCAAGGCUAAAUACUCCCUAGUGACCGAUAGUGAACCAGUACCGUGAGGGAAAGGUGAAAAGCACCCCGGAAGGGGAGUGAAAGAGAUCCUGAAACCGUGUGCCUACAAGUAGUCAGAGCCCGUUAAUGGGUGAUGGCGUGCCUUUUGUAGAAUGAACCGGCGAGUUACGAUCCCGUGCAAGGUUAAGCAGAAGAUGCGGAGCCGCAGCGAAAGCGAGUCUGAAUAGGGCGAAUUGAGUACGUGGUCGUAGACCCGAAACCAGGUGAUCUACCCAUGUCCAGGGUGAAGUUCAGGUAACACUGAAUGGAGGCCCGAACCCACGCACGUUGAAAAGUGCGGGGAUGAGGUGUGGGUAGGGGUGAAAUGCCAAUCGAACCUGGAGAUAGCUGGUUCUCUCCGAAAUAGCUUUAGGGCUAGCCUCAAGGUAAGAGUCUCGGAGGUAGAGCACUGAUUGGACUAGGGGCCCCUACCGGGUUACCGAAUUCAGUCAAACUCCGAAUGCCGAUGACUUAUCCUUGGGAGUCAGACUGCGAGUGAUAAGAUCCGUAGUCGAAAGGGAAACAGCCCAGACCGCCAGCUAAGGUCCCAAAGUAUACGUUAAGUGGAAAAGGAUGUGGAGUUGCUUAGACAACCAGGAUGUUGGCUUAGAAGCAGCCACCAUUUAAAGAGUGCGUAAUAGCUCACUGGUCGAGUGACUCUGCGCCGAAAAUGUACCGGGGCUAAACGUAUCACCGAAGCUGCGGACUGUUCUUCGAACAGUGGUAGGAGAGCGUUCUAAGGGCUGUGAAGCAAGACCGGAAGGACUUGUGGAGCGCUUAGAAGUGAGAAUGCCGGUAUGAGUAGCGAAAGAGGGGUGAGAAUCCCCUCCACCGAAUGCCUAAGGUUUCCUGAGGAAGGCUCGUCCGCUCAGGGUUAGUCGGGACCUAAGCCGAGGCCGAAAGGCGUAGGCGAUGGAUAACAGGUUGAUAUUCCUGUACCACCUCCUCACCAUUUGAGCAAUGGGGGGACGCAGGAGGAUAGGGUAAGCGCGGUAUUGGAUAUCCGCGUCCAAGCAGUUAGGCUGGGAAAUAGGCAAAUCCGUUUCCCGUGAAGGCUGAGCUGUGAUGGCGAGCGAAUUAUAGUAGCGAAGUUCCUGAUUCCACACUGCCAAGAAAAGCCUCUAGCGAGGUGAGAGGUGCCCGUACCGCAAACCGACACAGGUAGGCGAGGAGAGAAUCCUAAGGUGAUCGAGAGAACUCUCGUUAAGGAACUCGGCAAAAUGACCCCGUAACUUCGGGAGAAGGGGUGCUCUGUUAGGGUGCAAGCCCGAGAGAGCCGCAGUGAAUAGGCCCAGGCGACUGUUUAGCAAAAACACAGGUCUCUGCGAAGCCGUAAGGCGAAGUAUAGGGGCUGACGCCUGCCCGGUGCUGGAAGGUUAAGAGGAGCGCUUAGCGUAAGCGAAGGUGCGAAUUGAAGCCCCAGUAAACGGCGGCCGUAACUAUAACGGUCCUAAGGUAGCGAAAUUCCUUGUCGGGUAAGUUCCGACCCGCACGAAAGGCGCAACGAUCUGGGCACUGUCUCAACGAGAGACUCGGUGAAAUUAUAGUACCUGUGAAGAUGCAGGUUACCCGCGACAGGACGGAAAGACCCCGUGGAGCUUUACUGCAGCCUGAUAUUGAAUGUUGGUACAGCUUGUACAGGAUAGGUAGGAGCCUUGGAAACCGGAGCGCCAGCUUCGGUGGAGGCAUCGGUGGGAUACUACCCUGGCUGUAUUGACCUUCUAACCCGCCGCCCUUAUCGGGCGGGGAGACAGUGUCAGGUGGGCAGUUUGACUGGGGCGGUCGCCUCUAAAAGGUAACGGAGGCGCCCAAAGGUUCCCUCAGAAUGGUUGGAAAUCAUUCGCAGAGUGUAAAGGCACAAGGGAGCUUGACUGCGAGACCUACAAGUCGAGCAGGGACGAAAGUCGGGCUUAGUGAUCCGGUGGUUCCGCAUGGAAGGGCCAUCGCUCAACGGAUAAAAGCUACCCCGGGGAUAACAGGCUUAUCUCCCCCAAGAGUCCACAUCGACGGGGAGGUUUGGCACCUCGAUGUCGGCUCAUCGCAUCCUGGGGCUGUAGUCGGUCCCAAGGGUUGGGCUGUUCGCCCAUUAAAGCGGUACGCGAGCUGGGUUCAGAACGUCGUGAGACAGUUCGGUCCCUAUCCGUCGCGGGCGCAGGAAAUUUGAGAGGAGCUGUCCUUAGUACGAGAGGACCGGGAUGGACGCACCGCUGGUGUACCAGUUGUUCUGCCAAGGGCAUCGCUGGGUAGCUAUGUGCGGACGGGAUAAGUGCUGAAAGCAUCUAAGCAUGAAGCCCCCCUCAAGAUGAGAUUUCCCAUUCCGCAAGGAAGUAAGAUCCCUGAAAGAUGAUCAGGUUGAUAGGUCUGAGGUGGAAGUGUGGCGACACAUGGAGCUGACAGAUACUAAUCGAUCGAGGACUUAACCAA
rnacentral:rRNA from 1 species